UCCAUCUGUCCAUCCCCCCGGUGGAGCUGAGGAGGCCAGAAAGCAACUUCCAGACUCAGAGAGAGUUGCCCCAUCACCUCCUAGGACCAGCCCAAGAGCACAUCGCCUCCAGAGAUGGAAGGGGGCCGCCUGCACCCUUACCGUGGCGGGUGUUCCAGAAGCUAAGGAAUGUUGCCCUCCACCCUAACCAAACUCACCAAAAGGUCAUGGAAACCAGCUCUUCAGAGCCACACUGGAUGCUAGGCAGACCCAGAGGAUCAGAGCUCAGGGGCCUGUUCCCUGAGCCAGCUUCUCACAGAAACUGAGCCUGGCUGAGGCUGCUGACCCUGCUUGGCACCAGGAGAGGCCCUUCUCUCCUCCAUGAUUGGAGGCAGCAGCAGCAAGACAAACCCCGAAGCUCAGCUUGUUCUGGGGAGGCGGGCAGUUCGUCCAGAGAUUCAGCUCCCACGUGGAGCCAAUCUGUGCGAGUAACCAACCACCACCCAGAUCCCUGUCACCCAAGCCAUCAUUUCAAGGGACAGCAGCAGCCUCCACAGCCCCUGAAGCCUAUGGUCUGAGAACAUCGGGCCGUUCGGCCACUGCGAUAGACGUCAGAAGCAGAGCAGCAGGGCAGACACCCACACCGAACCGAGACGCCGACCGCUCUGGGGCAGCCGCUGAAGGGGCAAAGCGUGAGGGGCGGCAUUGUGCUAUGUUCCCAAAGAGCCAAUUGAGUAGUUACCACCUUCGCGUCCGUAAAGCCCAUGGAACACCAUCGUGGAUCCCAGCUGAGAAAGAUUGAUUGAGGCCGUGACAUUCAUUUCAG
rnacentral:lncRNA from 1 species